rnacentral:rRNA from 1 species
CAGCAGCCGCGGUAAUACGAAGGUCCCGAGCGUUGUUCGGAAUCACUGGGCGUAAAGGGAGCGUAGGCGGCGCGGUAAGUCAGAUGUGAAAUCCCGGGGCUCAACCCCGGAACUGCAUCCGAUACUGCCGUGCUAGAGGAUUGGAGAGGUAGCUGGAAUUCUCGGUGUAGCAGUGAAAUGCGUAGAGAUCGAGAGGAACACUCGUGGCGAAAGCGAGCUACUGGACAAUAUCUGACGAUGAGGCUCGAAGGCCAGGGUAGCGAAAGGGAUUAGAUACCCCUGUAGUCCUGGCAGUAAACGGUGCACGCUUGGUGUGAGAGGAUUCGACCCCUCUUGUGCCGGAGCUAACGCGUUAAGCGUGCCGCCUGGGAAGUACGGUCGCAAGACUAAAACUCAAAG